CCUACGGGCGGCAGCAGUAGGGAAUCUUUCACAAUGGGCGAAAGCCUGAUGGAGCAACGCCGCGUGCAGGAUGAAGGCCUUCGGGUUGUAAACUGCUUUUAUAAGCGAGAAAUAUGAUGGUAACUUAUGAAUAAGGAUCGGAUAACUACGGGCCAGCAGCCGCGGUCAUACGUAGGAUCCGAGCAUUAUCCGGAGUGACUGGGGGUAAAGAGUUGCGUAGGUGGCAUCAUAAGUAGCUAGUUAAAUCUGGUGGCUUAACCAUUCAGACUAUUAGCUAAACUGUUAAGCGCGAGACCGUGAGGGGUAACUGGAAUUUCUAGUGUAGGAGUGAAAUCCGUAGAUAUUAGAAGGAACACCAAUAGCGUAGGCAGGUUGCUGGGACGGUUCUGACACUAAGGCACGAAAGCGUAGGGAGCAAACGGGAUUAGAUACCCCAGUAGUC
rnacentral:rRNA from 1 species